UAGUUAGUUGGCAGAGUGGUUAUGCACCUCCUUCAUACGGAGCGACUACAGUGGUUCAACUCCACUACUAACUACCAA
rnacentral:tRNA from 1 species